CACCUACAGUAAUAGCGUUGAUUGUGGCAAGUGGCAACUCUUAACUUGGUGGAACACCUCGCCCCGUAGUGGCUGCCUCGCCCCGCCCCGCCCACCACCCACCACUGACCACUCCCACUUCCAGUUUGUUAACUUUGUAUAAUAACUGUGUGGCGCUGCGAUGGCAGGACGUGAAUCACUGAGAAGGAAGACCGAAUAGUGAGAGUAAAAAGAAAAAAAAUAUGGCGUGUUGGUAGCCUCCCAGUAAUCAAAGGUUAAGUAUUCAUACACGAUUGAAGGCACUUAAUUAAGGCGGUGAGUGUGUAUGUGUGUGCUGAUAAGAAGACAGGUCCAUCCGCCCCGGGACAGUGUCCAUCAGGAAACGCUUCCACUACCUGUGGUCUUACUGUUUCACCACAGAAGAGCAGAAUCUGCUGUUGCCCUCCUGCCACUCUACCAGACUUUACCAUUGGAGGCUUCGUCAUCCCCCCUGUGCUCCCAGUACGUACAGCUAUCUUAGUGCUCCGCCGGUAAGGAUCUCUGCAGCCCUCCCUGCUCGGCGUGAACCUCAUCCUCAUUGUUCGUGACCUAUUGGAGCGACUUCAGCGAUGACUUCACCCUCUUCAGUGGUUCAUCAACAACUCUUCCGGUAUCUCCAUUCCGUGGCCAGAACCACGACCUCCUCCUCCUCCUCCCUCCUCCACAAAGAGUGACCCCUCCCCACUUCUGCAGGUUUGAGAAGCAUUGUUGUUCCGGGAGGUGCUGCUGACGGUGGCUAAGCAGGGGUGGCCUAGUCAACCUGGCGACUCUCGCUUCCACCACCACCGCCACCUUGCCCGUUAUUAUUUUUCUUAACUCAUUAUCAUUACCAUCAUUAUUGUUGUUGCUGUUCCUGUUAUUCUUUUUAUACCUGUUACAUUCAGUGUUAAUAUUGCUAUUGGUUACCGUUACGACGUCCCCCGGUGCGUCUAUAAUGUUAUUUACGGUGCUGCGUGUGUAAAUGUCAUAUUGAAAUGCA